rnacentral:tRNA from 3 species
CGAUAGCUCAGUUGGUAGAGCAGCAGACUGAAAAUUUGCGUGUCACUGGUUCGACUCCGGUUCGA